rnacentral:lncRNA from 1 species
AUAUACAACAUGUAUUAAGUAGUAACAGCUUUUGACCAUCAAUUAUAUCAUAUUAAGAACACAUUGACAUAUAUAUAAAAACCGACGUUAUCCAUUUUUUUGUUUCAAAUUGCAAUUAGACACGUGUUACAAUGGAUUAAAAUGAUUAAAUUCUUUAACAAUUUUGUGAAUAUUCAAUUACAAUGUGUUGAAAUUCCAGCAGC